rnacentral:rRNA from 1 species
AGACGGAGGGCACAAACGUUGUUCGGAAUCACUGGGCAUAAAGAGCACGUAGGCGGCCCGCUAAGUCUAAUGUGAAAUCCCUCGGCUCAACCGGGGAACUGCAUUAGAUACUGGCGGGCUCGAGGAUGGCAGGGGUAAGUGGAACUCCAGGUGGAACGGUGAAAUGUGUAGAUAUCUGGAGGAACACCGGUGGCGAAAGCGGCUUACUGGGCCAUCUCUGACGCUGAGGUGCGAAAGCUAGGGUAGCAAACGGGAUUAGAAACCCCAGUAGUCC